UACGGAGGGUGCAAACGUUGCUCGGAAUUAUUGGGCGUAAAGCGCACGUAGGCGGUCCAGCAAGUCGGGUGUGAAAGCCCUCGGCUUAACCGAGGAAGUGCAUUCGAAACUACUGGACUUGAAUACUGAGGAGGAUCGCGGAAUUCCCGGUGUAGAGGUGAAAUUCGUAGAUAUCGGGAGGAACACCAGUGGCGAAGGCGGCGAUCGUGGGCAGAUAUUGACGCUGAGGUGCGAAAGCGUGGGGAGCAAACAGG
rnacentral:rRNA from 1 species